rnacentral:lncRNA from 10 species
CGGGGGGGAGGGGCGGCGAGGCGAGGCCUGCGGAGCGGAGGAAGACAAACAUAAAGAUGAAGUGCUUAAUUCAAGGUCACACAAUGUCGGGGAUGGACCUCCAGAUUUCCUUACUGUACUUAUCCUGUAUUACAUGAAGGAAAUGAAAUAAAAAGACUGCAGCCCCACUCCCAGCUACUCAGUGAGGUGGUAGCUAGAGACGGAGUCUUGCUAUGUUGCCCAGGCUGGUCUUGAACUCCUCACCUCAAGCGAUCCUCCCGUCUUGGCCUCCCAAGUGUCAGGAUUACGGGCAUGUGCUAUCACACCCAACCUGAUACAUUGCCUUUAUAAAUUUUUUUUUCUUUAUUCUAAAAACCAGAAAAAACAAAACUGGAUACAUGUGCAGAACAUGCAGGUUUGUUACAUAGCUGUACGUGUGCCAUGGUGGUUUGCUGCACCUAUUGACCUAUCCUGUGAGACGUGGUCUUGUAACACAGUGGUUAAGAAUGUGACUUUGGAGCCAGCCUGCUAGGGGCUGAAUUCUGACUCAGCCAUUUACUAACUGUGUGACCUUAGGUCACAGAAUUUUCCACACUCCUUGACAGAGGUGCUUAACCCUUAUCCAUCAGCAUUCUCAGACAGCACCUCCGGUUAGGGACAGUAUCUGACCGUCCGACAUCCCUGCAGCCCCCAUGUGUCACACAGACUCAGCCUCAGGUAGAUGGUUUCCGUAGAUGGUGGCUUUCUUUGGACCCUUGACAUCAACCAGUUACUAUUUGGGGACCAGAUGUGCAGAGGUAAUGAAUACCAGGGAAUCAGGAAACCACUGG